GAACGCUGGCGGCGUGCUUAACACGUGCAAGUCGAACGGGAAACGUUCCUUCGGGAACCGAUGUACUGUGCGCGCACGGGUGAGUAACUAAGUAGGUGACCUACCGUACUCUGCUGGGGAACAAGCGCAGGGAAACCCGGAGCUGAUUGCGCAUACCGCUUUCCAACUCGCGGGAUUGGAAAGGAAAGAUGGUCUCUGCAUGAAAGCUAUCGGGGAAUGAUGGGCCUGUCGCGUCAUUAACUUGUUGAGUGAUGUAACGGAUCACCAAGGACUGACGAUGUACUAGCAUGGUCUGAAGAGUGAUGAUCAGCCACACUGGUACUGGAACACUGGGCCAGACUCCUACUGGAGGCAGCAGUGGGGAAUAUUGCGCAAUUGGGCGAGCGCCUGACGCAGCAACGCCUGUGUGAGUGACGACUGCCUUCUGGGUCGUCAAGCUCUGUCAAGAGGGACGAAGCAUCGGUGGGAACAAUACCUCGCCGGUUUGACGGUACCUCCAAAGGAAGCACCUGGCUAAGUCCGGUGCCAGCAUCCGCGGUAAUACGGCGGGUGCCAGCGUCGUUCGGAAUUACUGGGCGUACAGGGCGUGUACGCGGAUCACUAAGUCAGGUGUGACAGCCCUGGGCUCAUCCCAGGAAGUGCACCCGAAAGCAUUGGUCUUGAGUUCCAGAGGGGAGCGGGGAAUUCCCA
rnacentral:rRNA from 1 species